rnacentral:rRNA from 1 species
ACGCAUGCUACAAUGGCCGGUACACCGGGAUGCGACGCGGCGACGCGGAGCGGAUCCCUGAAAACCGGUCUCAGUUCGGAUCGCAGUCUGCAACUCGACUGCGUGAAGGCGGAGUCGCUAGUAAUCGCGAAUCAGCAACGUCGCGGUGAAUGCGUUCCCGGGCCUUGUACACACCGCCCGUCAAGUCAUGAAAGUGGGCAGCACCCGAAGCCGGUGGCCUAACCCCUUGUGGGAUGGAGCCGUCUAAGGUGAGGCUCGUGAUUGGGACUAAGUCGUAACAAGGUAGCCGUACCGGAAGGUGCGGCUGGAUCACCUCCUUUCUACGGAG